rnacentral:rRNA from 1 species
GAACAUACCACUUGUUGCCUCGGCGGAUCAGCCCGCUCCCGGUAAAACGGGACGGCCCGCCAGAGGACCCCUAAACUCUGUUUCUAUAUGUAACUUCUGAGUAAAACCAUAAAUAAAUCAAAACUUUCAACAACGGAUCUCUUGGUUCUGGCAUCGAUGAAGAACGCAGCAAAAUGCGAUAAGUAAUGUGAAUUGCAGAAUUCAGUGAAUCAUCGAAUCUUUGAACGCACAUUGCGCCCGCCAGUAUUCUGGCGGGCAUGCCUGUUCGAGCGUCAUUUCAACCCUCAAGCACAGCUUGGUGUUGGGACUCGCGUUAAUUCGCGUUCCUCAAAUUGAUUGGCGGUCACGUCGAGCUUCCAUAGCGUAGUAGUAAAACCCUCGUUACUGGUAAUCGUCGCGGCCACGCCGUUAAACCCCAACUUCUGAAUGUUGACCUCGGAUCAGGUAGGAAUACCCGCUGAACUUAAGCAUAUCAAUAAGCGGAG